rnacentral:lncRNA from 1 species
AAAAAUAUCAUCUAGAAGGAUUUUUCGUCCCGAAUCCAACGAAUCUAGUUUCGUGGAAGUCCGAGUUCGGUUGGGGCACGAAUUUGACCGUUUUAUCUGAUUGCGCAGAAUCCUGCUGGAAUGGGGGUUUUCCUAUCUUAUCUAGGAUUCAACCUUAUCUUGUACAUGGAAAGUGGAGUUUGUGAGGGACUUGUAAUUCGAGGUUGCUCCUCUAUAAGAGGACCCUCAAAAGGGAAGGAUUGGUAUCGGGUAGAGCUAGAGAGACCAGGAGAGCUUAUUGUAAUAAGUUGAGUAGUUAUCCAAUAAAGUUCUCUUCCUCUGUAUUUAAUCUCUCCUUCGUGGUAUUUUCUGGUGUCAUGCUUCGCUGCAUUAUUGUUGUUAGGCAUGACCUAAGUCACAGAGACUAGGUUCCUACGCCAGGAAGGCAUAUCGGUUAUCUUCGGUAGACCGAGCCGCACGUUGUUGGGAUUCGCUUUGAAAUUCCUUCGUACGUGACAUUCGUCUUCUUCUUCUCCUUCUCUUUCUUCUUCUUCUCCUUUUUCUCAUUCCUCUUCUUCUUCUUAUUCUUCUCAUUCUUCGUCUUCUUCUUCUCCCUCUUCUCCUUCCUCUUCUUCUUCUCCUUCUACUUCUCCCACUUCUCUUUCCUCUACUUCUUCUCCUUCUUCUCGCNN